AACUUUCAACAACGGAUCUCUUGGUUCUGGCAUCGAUGAAGAACGCAGCGAAAUGCGAUAAGUAAUGUGAAUUGCAGAAUUCAGUGAAUCAUCGAAUCUUUGAACGCACAUUGCGCCCUCUGGUAUUCCGGGGGGCAUGCCUGUUCGAGCGUCAUUACAACCCUCAAGCUCUGCUUGGUAUUGGGCGUCACCGCUUCGG
rnacentral:rRNA from 1 species